CAAGAACUGGCAUAUACAGGGUGAGGGGAAUUAGUGAAUAAGCAAACCAGUCAAAGGGCGCCUCUUACUUGGCAGGUAAGUACAGUAUUUUGUGCUGUAAUUAAGUACAUUCAAGGGCUGGUUUCCUAACAUUUGGUUUUCACUGACUUGCCAAAGGAGAGUUGCCCUGUGACUGAUUCAGCUUAAUAUCGUAAGAUGAUUGCCCCCACACAGGUCAUUUCAACAGGUAUGUUUUUUCAAUAGAUUUGAUGUAGUAGCAUGAUGAAAAUUCUGGCAUGGUGAUUGGAAAUUUAGCUGUAGCCUGUCCUAGAUGCAAUGAUACAUAUAAACCAUGCAGCUAGCUCUUUAGAUCUUAAUCUUGGCCUGUUUUGCCUUGAAUUAUUGUAGAGAUUGGAGCAUAGUUUAUUUCUUUGAGCAUUGUGAAAUGAGGGCUUCUUCCUUUUUGUAAAAUGGCAAGAACUAUAGCUAGAUAUGGAAAAAAGAUUGUCAAAAAAUUUUGUAACCUUAACAAGGCUAAGAAUUUAACAGUAAGUCGUUUGAGAAAAUGGUGGUUUCUUGGGCAGAUAUAGAACAGUUUGGUUUGUUUUAUGUAUCCUCAAUUUUUUUUUAAUUCAUUUUCAGUUUGGUUAAAUCACUCUUAGGAUUUGAACUAAGCAAUUAUUUUCGGAACUUGAACUAGGUAACUAUUUUUAUAUUGAGGCUUCAACCUUUUAUUCAAGUUAAUUCUUGAACUUGACAAUUACUCUCGUAUUGAUGCCUAAAUUUGACAAUUUUUUCCACAUUAAACUUAAACUUUAGGUGUUUUAGGAAAUAUCAAAGGCUAACUUAGAUAAUAAUAAAAAAAUUUAAUUCUAUCAUAAAAACAAUUACCAAAUUUAAGACUUAACUUGAAAAAAAAAUUAAACCCAAAUAUAAAAAAAUUACUAAAUUCAAUUCCAGUUCAUACCAAAAAAUUAUUUAACCCUUUACAAUUAACUCACAAGAAUAAUUCACUGACAAUUAAGAAUGUGCCUAUGAUCUUAACCUGCUAAAUAGGUUUUAAGGAGAAUAUCUAAUGCAAAUGAACCAAAAGCUGGAUUCAUAUCUUCUCAAACUUAGAUAUUGGUUUCCGAAAUGCCCUUCCUUGCCUUUGGAUUUUCUUUAUUGAACAAAGAUUUGGUAUAAAGCUGCUUUAUUUAUAUUUUUUUGACUUUUCACUUUUAAUCAUUUACAUUUAUCUAAAGAAAUGAUGGAAAAUGCCGGUUAUUGGGUCGACAUAAACCCAACUACGUUAGGACCCUCCAGUUUCUCUCAACACUCGGACAAAAUUCCAACCAUUAAAAAUUUCGAAAUAGUUCUCGAUACGAAUAUUGUUGUUAAUUAAAGAAGACGUAAGUUUGCAUAUAUUGAAAUGUAUUAUCUUCUUAUUUACGAAUUGAAAAUUGAUUAUAGGUGGUUCUAGAUAUUAUCAUAAAAAAAAUGAUUCGAAUCUAUAAUAAUUUUUUUAAAAAAAAUACAAAUUAGUUUGUUUUGAAUAGGUUUAAUGUAUUAUUUAAUAUUUGAGUAUAAUAUUUUUCUCUAGUGAUAUUUAUGUUAUUUUUUUAUUUAAUUGUGGUACUUGUAUUUAACAAAAUUGAUAUAUUUUGACAACUAAAGGUAAUGAUGUUAAUUUUUUUGGUGUUUAAUUUAGAUUUUAGGGUUGAUUUGAGUUAAUAUUGUUAUUUUCAUACACCAAAAUAUUUAGCUUUUGUCAAAUACAGAUAUCAUGUUUAAAAAAAUGUCAAAUUCAAAUACAAAACUGUGUAUUAAAUCUUUUGAAUAAAAUUGACAAUUUUUUAAUAAAUAAAUGGACAUAUUUUUUUGAAAAGCAGACAUAGGAUAAGGAGAGCAAAUUUUUUAAUAGAUAUAGAAUGGUUAUGAGAAUUAUUUGUCUUGUUUCGUCUCACCUAAUCAUAUGAAAUUAAAAUUUAGUGACAAAAAUAUUAUAUUACGAGGCAUGAGAGUUUGGAUUUAAUUUCAAACAAUAUUUCAUAAAAAAUAUAUAUUUUAAAUAAAAACAAGGUUAGAUAAAAUGAGACAGAAAUAGAUACAUCUCACAUUCAUAAAUAUCAUAAUAAUUUUUCAAGAUUAUAUAUUCAUAAUAAACUUAAUCAUGAGUCAGGCCAUUCGCCCAGACCUAAAUGCCAACCUAAAAAGUAGAAGGGUUUGAGCAAAAAAUAUAAGCUCGAAAAAUGAGUAUAGAUAAAAUAAAAAUAAAUAAAAAAACUUUUUUUUGAUUUGAGCCUAAACCGAAUUUACCUAUUUUUUUCACUAUUGUUUUGUUAUUGUUUUAUGUCAUUUUGAUGUUGUUUUGCAGUCAUUUUGUUGUAAUUACUUAAAUAUUGUAUAACUCUUACUUUAUUAUUAAUUUUACUACUAUUUUAUAAACAUUUACUUGCUAAGUUGCAACUAUCUUAGUGUUAUUUUCAAUUUGUUAGAAAAUAUUUAUUUUAAUAUUUUUAAUAUAUUUAAUGUAUUAUAUUUUUUAAAUUUAUUUUAUAUAAAAAAUAAUAUAAUUUUUUUAAUAUAUAUGAACCGAGUCAAACUCCAACCGCGGAAUAAACCCGAACCAGAAAUCAGAUAUUUACCCAAUCUGACUAUGAUCAGUUGUAAUUCACAAUAAAACAAAAGAAAGCACAACAUAUGUAACUAUAAAGCAAUAAUAAAUUUCAGCAAAUCCGCUAACUUUGCUCGAUGGUGAUCACUCCAUUGGACAUGUACCUGUUUUCUGCUUUUUGGUAAAAUAUACUUACAAUGACCACACAGACACGAAAUCUACCGAUCAGAAGUGAGGAUACGUGGCAACUCUCAAAAUAUUAAACCUAUUUAUAAAACAAUAAAAAAAUACUAUAAUAAGGGCUUUUCAAAGUUACUUUUCCAUCAGUUUUUAUCAGGUUUAUUUAUCUUCUCAUUAGGUGUCAACUACAGUGAAAAGUAUUACAAUGCAAUGAGUACAUUUACGUCAACAAUUUUACCAACAAUAAAGAAGCAAAUGGUGGUUUUCCGUAAAGCGAAGUAUCAUAAAGUUGGCAGAAUUUCCAAUAUGGCUCCAAAAUAUUUUUCAUGUCGAUUAUUGCGUAAAAUUACAGUAAAUUUUAUUUCUUCUGGUAUAUAAUACACCGAUCAUUAUGUACCUUAAAGUACAAGAAACUUAUUAAUCACAACAUGAAUUCACACAACGAAACAAAGAAAAAAGAAAGCAGUCUUUUAUUGCCGCUCAAUCUCUGUUAUUCUCUCUCAUUCUCUCUCUUUUUCUCAAGCCCUCAAUUUACCACUCUGCAAUUCAAUCUCACUUCUCCAUUUUCCAUCACCCCUACAUUCCCAAGCUUCACCAUCGAUGUGGCAAAUUCUUUGAAGAACAAACUUUGAUCAUUAGCGAAUGAUUCAACAAUCCAUUUAGUCCUAUAAUCACUAUACAGUGCUUGAUCGGAUCCGAACACACCUUUCCCUGCCAACAGUUGUUUGUAAUAAUUAUUAUCGAAAGUUGAUGCCGUGGAGUCCAAGAACUGUCCUGCAUUGCCAUUUUUAUUUGGUUUCGGGCAUUUCUUCUUCAGUGUUUCUGCGAAUUCAGGGUUCAUUGUAGGGUCGAUGUCCUGAACCGAGCUGAAAUUAUGGAGCCGAGCUUGGAAUGAAGAACAGUGUGAGAAUCCUAGGGUGUGACCUCCGGAUAGGGCUACUAAGUCCUUGACCCUUAAACGUCGCUUAGUGAAGCUUUGAAUGAGUGUUGAAACG
rnacentral:lncRNA from 1 species